GAUUUCUACUUGACCGUCCUGGCCCGCUCUCUUUUUGGGAGUGAGUGCUGAGAUGAGUCAGGUAUCCUUAUCGAGAGCCAGGCCUAUCCUUCACUGGAUUGGGCGUGUGCGAUCGAUAUCAUUUACUUUGAAAAAAUUAGAGUGUUUAAAGCAGGCUUAUGCAUUGAAUACAUUAGCAUGGAAUAAUAAUAUAGGACUUCGGUUCUAUUUUGUUGGUUUCUAGGACUGAAGUAAUGAUUGAUAGGGAUAGUUGGGGGUGCUAGUAUUCCGCGGCCAGAGGUGAAAUUCUUGGAUUCGCGGAAGACUAACUACUGCGAAAGCAUU
rnacentral:rRNA from 1 species